rnacentral:rRNA from 1 species
UACGUAGGUGGCAAGCGUUAUCCGGAAUUAUUGGGCGUAAAGCGCGCGCAGGUGGUUUCUUAAGUCUGAUGUGAAAGCCCACGGCUCAACCGUGGAGGGUCAUUGGAAACUGGGAGACUUGAGUGCAGAAGAGGAGAGUGGAAUUCCAUGUGUAGCGGUGAAAUGCGUAGAGAUAUGGAGGAACACCAGUGGCGAAGGCGACUUUCUGGUCUGUAACUGACACUGAGGCGCGAAAGCGUGGGGAGCAAACAGG